UACGUAGGGAGCGAGCGUUGUCCGGAUUCAUUGGGCGUAAAGGGCGCGUAGGCGGCGGGGUAAGUCGGGUGUGAAAUCUCAGAGCUCAACUCUGAAACUGCACUCGAUACUGCUCUGCUUGAGGACUGGAGAGGAGACUGGAAUUCACGGUGUAGCAGUGAAAUGCGUAGAUAUCGUGAGGAAGACCAGUGGCGAAGGCGGGUCUCUGGACAGUUCCUGACGCUGAGGCGCGAAGGCCAGGGGAGCAAACGGG
rnacentral:rRNA from 1 species